AAUAGUUUUAUACAAUUUUGACAUUUUGAUGUAAAUAAAAAAUAAUUCAGACGUAUAUAUUAGCUUCUUUUAUUUUGUCCUUUUUUGUUCUAUCUACGUCUUUUGCACUUUCAGUAAAAUUUUAAUACCCAAUUUUUUUUUUUUUUGCAUUGCAUAUACUAAAACAAACCAGUAUAUACAUAUAAACAUAUAUAUAAACACUACGCAAAAUAAUUAAAAAACUUACGAAAAUUUAUAAAAAAAAUUAUUAAAAAAAAAAAAUUAAAUAAAAUGGAGAAAGGAAAUGGAAAUGAAGAUAAUGAUGACAGAAUAGCAAACAUUCCAUUUCAAGCACCACGUAGUAUUGACAAUUAUUCAGAACCAGCAGCUUACGAGCUUGAAAGAAGAGCUAAGAUAUUUUCUUCACAAUAUUAUUUUGAUGGAAAUUCAUGGACAUCCUUAAAAAAACCAUUAACUAUUAAAAAAACAAUUUUUAAUGAUGAUCGUAUUUUUACAUUAAAACCAUCUGAGUCCCAAUCAGUACCUUUACAAUUAGAACAGUCUUUGAGUGGAAAAUAUGAUAUAAAGUUAUAUCAACACGCAGAUUCGAUUAUAUGUAUUGAAGGAGAACAAAAAGUAUUAAUAAAAUUGCCAAUUACACAAAGUAUUUUAACAUGGAAUUGUGCUGAACGCUUCCCAUUACUAACAAAAGAUUGGAGACCAACUGUUUUUUUGUUAAACUUAAGUAAUGCAUUUGUUAGGAUUACUCCUGAUAAAUGUUUAAUCAUUAGUAAAGACGCUCAAGAGUCAAAAUCAUUUAAAAUUAAUUGUGUAAGCUUUGCUGAAGGAUUCUGCUGUUGUCAUCCAAUUAAUAAUUUAGCUUUAUUAUAUGGAACAUAUGACCAACAUAAAACAUUCAAUAUAAUGAAAUUACCAAAGCUUCCAUCAACUAAUGGUAAAUAUAACUACUUUUUACAUUUUUUUUCAUGGGGUACGAUGAUUAUCCCCAAAAGUGUUGAAGUAUUGAAGGGUCCUAUAUGUAGUUAUAAAAAAAAUACAGUGGCGUUAUUAAUUAUACCACCAAAAAUAAAUAUACAUAUAGAUUUAUGUAGUGCUUCUCCAAUAUGUGCUGCAUUAACUUAUAAUAAAGACUUUCUCAUUACUGCAAGAAAACCUAAUAUUACUGAUUUAGAAAUAUAUUUAACGAUUAAAGAUAACCUAAUUGUGUAUGACUAUUCUUAUGAUCUUCGUUUAAAUAAGGAAAAAGCUCCAGUUUCACAUUUAAAUAUUCCAAUUAAAUUUAAAAUAAGUAAGGAGGAAAAAAAUAUUAAAAAAAAUAAUCCAUCUUAUGAAUGCAAUUGGACAUUUAAUGAAUCUUCUGAACAAAAAGUUGUAAAAGGUGCAAAUGUUGUAAGUUCUGGGCAUCUUAUGUCACCCGACUUGGCAUGUAUAUUUGACGCGGAAACAGGAACUUACUAUUCGAAUGAUUACGGAAUACGCCACUGCAAAAAUUUUAAAAAGCUAGAAGCAUAAAAAAAAUUUUCAAAAUACUUCAGCAUUAAUUUUUAAUUUUUACUUAAAAUAUUGUUAUAACAAUUCUUAUUUUUAAUGUAUUAUUUAAUAAUAUUUUUUACGUCCAUAUCAAUACCUGCAAUAUAAUUUGAACAACAAAAAAAAUAAAAAAAAGUCUUUAAUUAAAUGUAUAUAAAAA
ensembl:lncRNA